ensembl:lncRNA
GUGCACGGCGUAGGCACGGGGAAAGCCUUUCCGAAAUCCUUUCCGUGGGCAACACGGUGAAAAGCCGCAGAUUUGGGGCGGUCGCUCUUUGCCGUGCGUUCUCGGGGCAAAGCUAUUGGGAUGUUUGUUUUGUUUCCCUUCGUUCCUCUUUGAGUGUUUGCGUUUUGGGGGUUUUGUUCGUUUGUUUCCGGGCUGCGGAACGAGACCCGGUGAUGGCAGCCGGGGGGGGGGGGGGGGGGGGGGGGGGGGGGAAGAGCCGCCGUGGAUGAGACGUGAAAUGCGCCGUAGGGUUUCGCCUAUCCCCAGCGCGCGGUGUGUGCCCAUUUCAAUAGCGGAUGGGCUGCUUCGUCGGGGAAGGGCUGAGUGCUAAACACACCCAAAGAUGAGUUACCCCACAUAGCGUUACCGGCGAUUAAAUUGUUCACAACUCUUUCGAAGCACGAGGGAGUGACAGAUCGAUAAUCGAUUAAAGAAAAAAAAGAAACAAAACCCCACCGCGGUGAAAGGGUUGUGCCUUACACCCCGAUAAAAUCCCACUGCGGGCCGGCUGGGGCUGCGGGGAGCUCCCGGUGCCGCGGGGUUCGCUGUCUGCGCUCUCCGUCCGGGACGCAUUCGCCGCACCGCGGGCUGAAGCCCGUCUGAGCUGCCCGGCCCCGCCGCAACCGAAUCCGAUGGAAAUCACAUGUGCGAGAGGGGUCGGAGCGUGUUAAGCUCGAGGAUCCCGCAGGAGCUGAACCGCCCUCGCGCUGGGGCUGGGAUCGAUAGGGGGAGGUAGGAAGGAAAUGGCUCCGGGCUGCCCCAGGGCGCUCCGCGAGCCGCCCGCCCGCCGAGCUCCGACGGCGCCUUCCGCGGCCCCGCUCCUCCGCUGCUACAGCCCGGCGGGGCCGGCGGAGCAGAUACAGCGACUCCUGUGGAUUCAUCUGGAUGAGAUUUCCAAUGUUGGAAAACAGAAAGCCUUGAAAGGUUCCUUCAUCGUGAAAUUUAUGUUGCAGCAGAUUAGACAGAAGAUUGGACAUCCUCUGAGGUGUUAAUGAUCUCCUCUAGCAGAUUUCCCAUGGAAGGAACUCCCAAGUGUUUGAGUGUUUUUGUCCAAAUGUGGUCCAUAUCAGUUCUGCCUCCUCAAAGUCCUCUUAGCCCAAACUGAGCUUGUAGUCAACUCAGACCAUACCAACCAGCUGCUUCCCUCCCCCCCUUCCCCUCCCCCCCGACCCCACCCCAGUUUUGCAUAGGUUUUGCAUAGGGAAAAACAGGAUGAAAUCCAUGUAAUAAGAGAAAUGUCUUCUACAAAUAUACAUGAGGAACAAAAGGAACUUCUGUAAGUCUAUUACUUGAUGUUGAUGGUUUAAAGUGCUAGUAAUGAGACGUUAUGAGACAGAUGCAUUCAAUAAGUAUUUCUGUUCUGGUGGAUCAAAGCUGGAAGGAAGUAUGAAUACAUUAUGAAGCUGAUGAAAUGUUUUCUGGUCUUACAGUAAAAUGGGUGAAUGCAAGUCAACUCAGAUCUGUGUCAGCAAGGCUCUAUAAAAUGGCACCGAGUCUUCUUAAGGCAGCAACUCAGGAAGUUGUACUUUCUCUAGGCAGGUAAUGAAUGCUGAGCUUGUACCCAGAGGUCAGAGGUAUGACCCAAUUAAUAGUAAGCUGGUUGGCCUAGCUUACUACUGGUCUUGGGAUCAGCAUGUAGGAAAUGGCUGAUACUGAAGACAAAAGUAAAAUCUGUUCCAAUUAAUUUAACCUUAGUGGAAUUUGAGCUUGUCAAGUCAUCCUAGUACCUCUAGUUGAAAAAACACUUCAAGAUCAGAACUGUGAUGAGUUAGUCACCUGACUGUAAAUUUUUUUAAUAUACCAUUUUUAGAAGACGCUACUUGAUUUCAACAAAGAUAUCUUAUGGGCAAUUAUCAGUGGGGAAGUCUUUCCAGAAGGGAAUCACUCAUUUCUCCUUUCCACCCAAUACAAUCUGUUUUUAAAUCACAAAUAACACAUGAACAACUGCAAAUGCACUUUUAAGAUAGUACGAAAUGUGAAAAAAUAAAGAUGACAGUGCUUUUGUUUGAAAGUGAUCAGACUCACUUCAUAACCUCGGUUCAACCAAAUGCAACCAAAACAGUUCGUCCUUAGAAACAAGAGAGCAUGAACUGUUUUUACAGGAUUGGGUACUGUAUCACAGAAAGCUUGAAAAGGUCUAUGGGGAUUGUCACAUGUAAUCAACUGUGCAUGAACUCCUACUAUAAUCUCAUUAUUAAAACAGUUACAGUGGUCACUGGAAGUACAGAGAUGGGGGCUGGGAUUGGGGAUGCAGUAUUCUGUCUGUGUAAGGAAGAAAUAGGGCCACUUUUGCAGUGGCUGUUGAAGUGGAUAGAGGAGCCAAGGGAGAAAUAGUUAAAGGAUCAGGACCUUCACAUAGGACACAUUUAUUCCAUGAUUAUUUCAUGAUGGAUUACCCCAGAAAAUAGCUUCCAAAAGUUUUUCCAUGAAACAGCAGAUCAUGCAGCUCCUCUGCUGGACCCUCCCUUAAGUCAUGUUUUCUGGAUUAUGUUCCAGAGGAAAUCAGUAGGGGUUGCAGCUUUCUGAGGUGAGUUUAGUGUUGGAUACCUGCCUAUGUGCUGUGACACGCUGCCUUGGCUAAUAAAUCGUGACCUCUGUGGUUAUAUCGGUCAAAUGCUUUCUCAGCCAGAGCAAUUUCCAGCAAAUCAGUGGGCUCCUUUCACAGUGCCCAUCUGACAAGCACGGGGUAGCGCACAGAUGGUUUAGAUAUAAAAAAGAAUGUUGCAUCAGUACUGUAUGUGUGAAAUGUUUCAAUUAUUCCUAAAAUAUUUUUAACGUGUUCCAGAUUUAUCAGGCAAAAUGUUUAGGAAGUAAUUGGAGUUUAUUCUGUUUUUAAUUUUGGUAUAGUAUAUUAUAAUAAACACAUGUUCAAAAUACAUUUUAGGUAUCACCAAAUAUUUAUAAAAUGUGUAUAGGUGGAAAUCCCAAGGUCACUACAGUAGCUUUAUUUUGCCAGUCUGUUUACAAGGAGAUGAGUCAUUAAAACCUAUGGCUGUUUCUAUCUGUACCGAGAAUCCUUCUCCUGCAGGCAGUGGAUAACCUAUUGGUUUUACAUAUUCAUGUAAGAUUAAGCUUUCUCUGAUUGCAGAGGUUGAAUUUAACCCUCCCUCAUAUUAUUUGUAAUAAUAAAAACUUCUAGUGGUAUUUCCAAGUGGACAUAUAUGUCUCAUAUUUAACAUCUGAUCAUAUUACCGUCAUUUUCCACUAUAACUAAAAGAUGAAUUAAAUAAAUGAGUAUCCCAAGCAAUUCUGUUUAGGAAAUCAGAUGAAAGAUGGUGUCAUACUUCUUGAAACACACAGUGGGCUUUUGCAAUUAGAACUAAUUGGUAUGUUGUGUGCAUCACUACCUGCCUUAAGAAAUACUGACGAAGCUUCGGGGUGGGAUGGGUGUUCUAUGGGGCUGGGGGUGAGACUGGGGGCGGGGGGGAUCUGUGGGACUGGGAGGUGGAAUUGUUCUACUAGGGAACACUGUUCCAUUUGUUUUAAAACAAAGAUUGACUGUUUGCUUUUGAUCUCCUUCUUGUCCUUGGAGAUUUCAGGUGUGGAAAAAGGCACACAUUUUCCUAGCCUGAAGAGUAAAAUAUUGCCCUCCACAAUUCUCAUUACCUUAAGUGAACUCAGUUUAUAUUUUUUGUUGUUGUUUUAUUUUUCUUUAUCCAAAGUUUAUUCAAAGUAUUCAUUAAGAAAAUCUCGAUGUAGAAACACCUUGCAUUAACCAAAGCAAAGUUGGUUUCAGUGCCCAAGACCAAGAUGCCUAAUCUCCUCCUUGCCCCAGCUGUUAGGGACAAGCAUGUUUUCCGUUUCAGCUCACAGAACAGUUGCAGUGUUGGGGGGAUGAGAAAACAGACAUGGGUUGAUCUGAGAGCAAAGAUUUGUGGUGGUAGAGCAAGACUGGCAAAGGAGGAGCCAGUGCCAUAUACAGAAGUAGCUGCAAACCCAAGAUUCCCUCAAAACGUGAUGACAUACAUGUGUAGACAUGUACUGUUUCAGCAGGUAUUGUGGUGCCCCAAAGAAACAUUUUGAAAGAUGAAAGCAUUGGGGAUUUUUGUUUUCACUGUUUUUCCUCACUUUUUUUAAGUAAAAAUGUUAAAUUCAGCUCUGUUAGAAGAUUAAGCUCAAUCCCAAACAAAAUCUAGACAUCUAGGCUGUACUGACUCCUGCUGCUGUCUUAGGAAAUAUUGACUUUUCUGAAAGAAAAACUAUUUCCUCAAUUCUAAUUUUCAUUAAAAACAUACUGUAGUACAGAUGCUGUUUUGCAAUAUUCUUUUAAUCUCUGUGGAUUUAUUUUAUGUGUUUACUCCAACAGAAAAUUCUUAUUAGCAACGAUUCUUCAACUCUUUCUCUUACCUCAGUGGUGUGGCUGACCCCUCUGUAUGCCUCAUCUGAAGGCUCACCAUCCACUGACAGUAAUCUGAGGAGGUCCAGGGACAGCAAAUGAUGGCUGAACUUGAUGAUCACAGGGGUCUUUUCCAACACCAAUGAUUCUAUAAUUUGAAUGACUUUUGACAUUGUAAGGCUGUUACACUUGUGAUCACAAAUACCUUAUGUCCACGAUAACAUUGGAAAUCUUGUUCAUUUUGCACCACUUCCAGAAAACAGCAAGAAGCUGUAUAAAAGUAUUUCAAAAGGAAGGAGCUGGUGAAGCAAGACAGCAAUUUGGUUUAUUUAUCAGUGUUAGUAAUUCCAUUCCAGCCCAUGAAGCCAGCAAGUAUGGUUCAUAUUGAGAAUAUCUAUGUGAAAAGUAAUGGCAAAUUAUGCAAAUAAAUUGGCUACAAUAAGACUUUUUCACUCUUUUUUUUUUUCAGUAGUUUAUCAUGCUGCAGUCUAAUCAAGAUAUGGUAAAGGGUGGUACAGACAUUAUUCAGGAACUUAAUGCCACAUAAACCUAAGCAAUUCAUUUUUCUAACAUUUUUAAUUGUCUGCAGAUAUACAGAUAGAGACUAACUGUAGUAAGUCCACAUUAAAUUCAUUUUAAACAAAUUUCAAGCCUAAUUUAAGAAAAUCAUGAUCUCCACUCACACUGAAGUGUGGUUUCACUUUGACAUCAGCAAAUCUAUACUGCUUGGAAAGAAAAGCUGUUUCAAGGGCUGAGCUGCUAGUUGGAACUCAGGAAUCCUGACACCACUCCAAGCCUCACAAACACGGGACCUUGGAGAUGUCAUUGGGAAUGGAACUCACCCAAAUGCACAAACCAAAAACCCAGGUAGCUGAGUUGGGUCUGGGUAUCCUCAGCAGUUAAAUGGAAAGAGAGUGACUCCUCUCAGGUUGAGAUUGGAUUCCUCGUUUUCAGAGGGUGUAAAUUAGUGUUGUGUACCUUGACUUCAGCAAGGCUUUUGUUGUUUCUCCCACAAUAUCCUUGUAAUGAAGCUUAGUAAGUGUCAGAUAGUUAAGUGGACAGUGAGGUGGAUUGAGACCUGCCUGACUGGCAGAGCUCAGGUUGUUACAAUCAACAGUGCAGAAUCUAGUUGGAGGUCUGUAACUAGCAGUGUUUCCCAGGGGUUGGUGCUGGGUCAGGUCUUGUUCAACAUCUUCAUCAAUGACCUGAAUAAACACUCAGCAAGUUUGCUGAUAAUACUAAACUGGGAGGAGUGGCUGACACACCAGAAGGCUGUGCUGCCAUUCAGAGUCCUGGACAGGUUGGAGAGUUGGGUGGAGAGGAACCUGAUGAGGUUCAUCAAGGGAAAGUGCAGAGUACUACAGAGGGGGACAAAUAACUGUGUGCAUCUGUACAGGUUAGGGUCUGACCUACUGGAAGGGAUCUCUGCAGAGAAGGACCUGGGUGUUCUGGUGGACAACAGGUUGGCCAUGAACCAGCAGUGUGCCCUCGUGGCCCUGUUGAGGCCACACAUGGAGUGCUGGAUCCAGUUCUGGGCUCCACAGUUCAAGAAAGAUGGAACUUCUAGACAGAGUCCAGCAAAGGGUCACAAAGAUGACAGGGAGCCUGGAGCAUCUUCCAUAUGAGGAAAGGCUGAGAGAUCUGUAGAAGAGAAGACUGAGAGAGGAUCACCUAACUUCAUAAAUAUCUGAAGUGUGGGAGUCAAAUGGAUGAGGCUAGGCUCUUUUCAGGACAGACAGAACAAGGGGUAAUGAGCAAAAACUGCAACAUGGGAGGUUCCAUAUAAACAUGAAGAAGAACUUAAUUGCUAUGAGGACGACAGAGCACUGGAAUAGGCUGCCCAGAGAAGAUGUGGAAUUUCCUUCUCUGGAGAUCUUCAAAACCUGCCU